ACAGACAGCUGCACUCCUCCCACAGCGCCUGCGCCUUCUUCUACAGUUCCACACCCGCCGCCUGGGCUUCCUGAACGAAGCGCGCGAGCCGCCGCGUUGGCCUUCUCACGCUGCGGGACUUAGUCGUUGAGGCGCUGGUGCACGUGUGCGAUGUCCUCGAGCAGGUGCUCCUGCUCCAGGCGCAGCAGACUGCGCGCCGAGCCCAGGCACAACACGGCGCCACGCAUCUCACGGACGUCGCGGUCGUCGUGGUCGUGCAGCUUGCCCAUUGCGGAGCCGUCUGCCUGCUGCUACCGCGGCACCGCCGCCUCGCCCCCCAGGCUGCGGUUGUGCACCUCCAGCUACCUCACCUUGUCAAUGUAGCCCGCAAAGCGGUCGUUCAGCGUCUACAGCUGCUUCUGUCUGCGCGCCGCAGCCUCUGCCACCACGUAGCCCUUCGGCUCAGCGUGUCCAGCGUUUUGAUGCUCGAGGGUGCGCCUGCGCAGUGGAAGAGGUUGGGUGAGGCCGACACGGAUCUCAUAGGCGGACACGGAUCUCAUAGACUUCCACGAGUGGAAGCCGCUGGAGGAGCCGGCGGCCGAGCGUGUCCAGCCUUCUCCUCCCUGGCCCAGCGCGUAAUGGAGGCUGCCGCCACUGGGCAGCGUGACGAAAGGAACGCCCAGCAGCACAUCCGUGCAACCGAAGCUCGUCGUGGUCAGAGCAGGUGUGCGUGGCCGGGACUGGACAGGAGAUACCUUUUUCUUUCUUUCUUUCUUUUUUUAAUUUUAAGUACCAAAAAUGUCCAUUGUAUUGGUCAGGGGUACAGUACAGGCACCACUUAGUUGUCCACAGGAGCUUGAGGGGCCUUGUGUGGGAUGUAAGCGGAGGUGGGCGCGGGAGGGAGACCGAGCCCAGGACUCUCCUUGGGGUUGGGGGGCUUGGCCUGGGUCCUCUUUCUGGACGGACCCUAGGGCUCCGGGGACACAGGCAUAGAGAGGGAAUGGGGUGGACAUUGGGGAUAAUCAGCGGAGUCCUUGGGGUGCUGAUUGGGACCGAGAGUCCCGGAAUUGUGGGGGACAAAAGAGCUCUGCAGCCUUGGCUAAGUGGUCACACCAACAAAAGACGGGAAGCUGGCCACCGCCCACCCCUACCACCAUGGGGAGGAAGGCAGCCCAGAAGACGCUGUUUCUGCUGCGUUCCAUUGACUACGUGGUGUCCCUGUUGGCUGCCGAGUGGGGCCGAGAGGAGCCCGACCUGGUGCUCCUCUCCUUGGUGCUGGGCUUCAUGGAGCAUUUUCUGGCUGUCAACCGCAUCAUCUCCACCAACGUGCCCGAGCUUACCUUCCAGCCCAGCCCCACCCCUUACCCUCCUGGCAGCCUCACCUUUCCCCUUGGGCGACCUGUCCAUCCUCGCUGUCCUCUAUGCCCAUUUCACCACCCAGAUCCGAGGUGCCGUCACUUGUCCCUCUACCCUCGAGAGGGGGGUGUCUCCAGCUGUGAGCUGGUGAAGGUCUCCAAUGUCAUAUGGAACAGCCUUAGCCGUUCCUAUUUCAAGGAUUGGGCCCGCAUCUAGUCCCUCUUCAGCUUCAUCACAGGCACCAAAUUUGACAGCUCUGAUGUGGCCUUUGCUGUGGUUGGGGUUUGCCAGGCCUUGGGUGUCUGGGAUGUCCUCCUCGCCCUGUCUGAGGAUCAUGCCUGGGUAGUGUUUGGACCCAAUGGGGAGCAGACAGCUGAGGUCACCUAGCAUGGCAAGGGCAUUAAGAACUGCAGGUGCCAGACGGUCAACACUGGUGUGGCUAAGCGGAGCUGGCUGUACCUGAAAGGAUCAUACAUGCGCUGUGACCGCAAGGUGGAGAUGGCGUUCAUGGUGUGUGCCAUCAGCUCUUCCAUUGACCUAUAUACUGACUCAUUAGAGCUGCUGCAGGUACAGCAGAAGCUGCUCUGGCUGCUCUAUGACCUGGGACAUCUGGAAAGGUACCCCAUGGCCUUAGGGAACUUGGAAGAUCUAGAGGAUCUGGAGCCUACUCCUGGCCAGCCAGACCCACUCACCUUCUACCACAAGGGCAUUGCCUCAGCUAAAACCUAUCAGGAUGAACACAUCUACCCCUGCAUGUACGUGGCUGGCUAACACUGUCACAACCAAAAUGUGUGUGAAGCCCUGCAGGCCUGGGCUGACACGGCCACUGUCAUGCAGGACUACAACUACUGCCGGGAAGACGAGGAGAUCCACAAGGAGUUCUUUGAAGUAGCCAAUGAUGUCAUCCCCAGCCUGCUGAAGGAGGCAGCCAGCUUGCUAGAGGUGGACAUGGAGCCGUCGCGGGGAGCAGAGCCAGGGCACCCAGAGCCAAGAUUCUGUCUCCAGGACCCUGAGUGCUUUGCCCACCUGCUGCGAUUCUGUGGCAGGAUCUGCAAAUGGGAGGAGGGCAGUCCCACGCCUGUGUUGCAUGUGGGCUGGGCCACCUUCCUUGUGCAGUCCCUAGGCUGUUUCGAGGAACAGGUGCAGCAGAAGGUGAGCAUAAUGAGCCGGGAGGCCGAGGAGGCUGAGGCAGAGCAGCUGUGGGUUGAGGAAGCCCAGGAAGGCCGGUGGCAGGCCCCACGGCGGUCGUCCAAGCUAGAGGAGCCCCCGCCCCCCAAGAAACCAUCACUGGACAAGGGCCCAGGCGCCAGCCAGGGUGCGGUGUCAGGACUUCCCCCACCCCACCCCCAGAAACCCCUGGGACAGUCCCUGGCACAGAUCAAGGCCCUGAAGGUGGCAGCACGGCUCAGGCGCCAGCGCCUGCAGCAUCACCACUGCUGGAAGGUCCAGUGCUCACUUUCCAGAACAAGAAGAUGAAGGGCAUGAAGGAGCUGCUGGUGGCCACCAAGGUCAACUCAAGCGCCAUCAAGCUGCAACUCACGGCGCAGUCCCAAGUUCAGAUGAAGAAGCAGAAGGUGUCCACCCCUAGUGAAUACACUCUGACUUUCCGCAAGUGGCAGCGCAAAGGCUUCUGAACUACUGGGGACUUCGGACCACUUGUGGGGACCCAGGCCCCGCCCUUAGCCCCCCUCUCUGAGCCCAUGCGGUGCCCGAGCCCAAAGGGGACAGGCCUCACCCCUACAGGAACCCAACGCUCCAGGUCCCUAGUACAGUCUACAUCAAACCCACAAUCUUCUCCAGCUCAGAGCCCAGAGCCCUGCCCCAGUCGUUAGAAUAUAGGUCUCUUCCCAGAAUCCCAGCCAGCCAAUGGAAACCUCACCCUGGGUCCUAAUUAUCUUUAAAGGCGCAACCCCUGGAAACCCAAGCUCCUCCUCAAAACGAAGCUACUCACCUAGAGCCAGACCAACGUUACUCAGGGCUGGUUGCUCCGAGCUUGUAGUAGCUGAGGUUUCAUCCUUAACGAGUACAGGUUCCGCCUCCAGCCUGGGAGCCUAGGACCCCACUCAAUCCCUAGGAGUGUGUUUCUAUACUUGAGAAUUCCAUAUCUUGCGAAUCCAAGCACCCUACCCGCAAAGAACUUGAGUCCUACUCUAGAAUUUGGAAAUCUAGCUUCCACUCUUUCCUAUCCCGAGUCUGGGACACGGAAUUCCGCCCCCAGCCUAUGAGCAUCCUGAGCCCCGCCCUCUUCCUGACCAAACUGGCUCCGGAUAAGAGCAGGACCACCUUUCUGACCCUCUGGGAACUUCCCAGAGGUCCAGCCCAUCUCAGAGCAUCCCGGAGGAAAUCUGCAGAUGGUUGGGAGUGGGUGGCAGGAGCCUGAUCUUUUCCUGUUUUGUACAUAGAUUUAUUUUUCAGUUCCAAGAAAGAUAAAUACAUUUUGUUAAAAAAGAAAAAGAAAAGAAAGAAAAGCGCUUAGCUAAUGGCUUCUUUCCAUCCAAACUACUUAUAGCACCACCUUAUGCACCCUGCUUCCUCUCCUUGAACCUGCAGCUGGAGUUUCUCUACAGGCUGUGGCAAGGGGGUUCCCACAUAAGAGUGUCCCAAACUCUCCUGAGAUGGGGCCAGUUGGGAUUACAAAGAAAGAAGCACUAAACACCAUUGUCGUAAUUGCAAAGCAUUUAUUAAGAGAACUUAUACAGAGAGAUGUAGCAUCUUCAUGAUGGACAGAGAAAGGAUGUUCUACCUAGGUAAGUCCAUGUUGAGGUAGUCGGGACAAGAAUUUAUAUGUAGGUUUAAGGAAUUUGGCUCAGAACCAAUGGGGCUCAGAACCAAUCUCCCUCAGUGUUUUGAGUAACAGCUUAGACACCUUUAUCAGGGCCUGGAUAUGUUUAAGGCUCCAGCUUGGGUUCAGCCUGAUGGUUAAAACAUGCAGCUAUGUCACAGCCGUCAAGGUAUUCUGUGUUUCUUGGUCAGGACACAGAAAGAAAGCAGUGGGUUUUGAGGAACCCUAUAUCACCAAAUUCCAGAAUCCAAAUAAGACACAUUUUAAUAUGUCUAGUUCUACUUGAAUUCUAUUAUUUUGUUAGUAGUAUUAUUCUUUAUACCAAUAAACAAUGAUGGAUUCCCAUAAGGCCUGAAAAAUGGCUAUGAUCUGCCAAGAUCAGCUCUACUUCAAUAUUUGGAGAUUUGGAUAUACAUUCUAGAUAUUACUAUAGAAAAUACAUUUUUUUAAUGUGAAAAGAAGUAAUGUAUUACUCAAAUAACUUAAAUCAAAAUAGCAAUGAGUUACCAUUUCAACUAUAAAAUUGGUAUUUUAAAAUGAAAAUAUCUAGUGUUAUUGAAGUUACUAAACCUAUAUUUACAGUGAGAUAGUUGAUACAAAGUUGUUAUGUGAAAGUUGGAUUGUUUGUAUUUUUAAUUGUCUACUUUUUGUUUAUGUGUACUUUUUGUUUUCUAUAAUGAACCUGAAGUACUUUGUAGUAAAAUAUAUACCUUAAUCACCCCUCCUUUUAAUUGAAAGCAGUAUUGCUGUUUUAAUUUCUCACUUUAUGAUUAU